rnacentral:rRNA from 1 species
UACGUAGGUCCCGAGCGUUGUCCGGAUUUAUUGGGCGUAAAGCGAGCGCAGGUGGUUUAUUAAGUCUGGUGUAAAAGGCAGUGGCUCAACCAUUGUAUGCAUUGGAAACUGGUAGACUUGAGUGCAGGAGAGGAGAGUGGAAUUCCAUGUGUAGCUGUGAAAUGCGUAGAUAUAUGGAGGAACACCGAUGGCGAAAGCGGCUCUCUGGCCUGUAACUGACACUGAGGCUCGAAAGCGUGGGGAGCAAACAGG